CAAAGUGUCACAUGUUCCAACGGAUGGCCUUCAUCUUACAGAAAGGAAAACUCAAGUCUCCUUGCUUAAACAGUCACAUUUAUAAAGACAAUCUCAAAGGAAAUGACAGAAAGGAAGGCUUUUGGAAUGCAGAUGUAAUGACUGGAGCUCAUGCAGCCAUUAUGAAUCAGGAGGCAAUCUGCUAUAGAUGGAAGAGCUGCAAGACCUAAGGAACCUGGGUCUAGGAUGACACUGAUUCCACCAUACCAACCGUACACUGCCUACCUCUUCACUUUUUCAUGAGAUGAAAACAUAAACCCUUAUCGUUCAAGCCA